ensembl:lncRNA
GUAAAGACCACGCCCCCACAGGUAAAGACCACGUCCCCACAGGUAAAGACCACGUCCCUACAAGUAAACACGCCCAUUCAGGUAAACCUACAGGUAAGACCACGCCCCUACAGGUAAAGACCACGCCCCCACAGGUAAACCUACAGGUAAACACGCCCAUUCAGGUGAACCUACAGGUAUAGACCACGCCCCUACGGGUAAAGACCACGCCCCCACAGGUAAACCUACAGGUAAACCCCACACCCCUAUGGGUAAAGACCACGCCCCCACAGGUAAACCUACAGGUAAAAACCUCGCCUCUACAGGUAAACCUAUAGGUAACGACCACGCCCCCACAGGUAAACCUCCAGGUAAACCCCACACCCCUACAGGUAAAGACCACGCCCCCACUGGUAAACCUACAGGUAAAGACCAGGCCCCUACAGGUAAAAAUGCCCCUACAGUUAAAGACCACGCCCCUACAGUUAAACACGCGCAUACAGGUGAACACCACGUCCCUACAGGUAAAGACCGCGCCCCUACAGAUAAGCAUGUUAUCCCUACAGAUAGACAUGUUAUCCCUACAGGUAAACAUGUUAGCCUUACAGGUAAACACUGUUGACACCAUGGUGUGUGUGUGUUAUAGACAGGUAUGGGGGACACAUUCCGGGGUUGCACACACACUGCUUUAUAGAUCUUGUCUGAUGCAGAAUAAGGCCUUCUCAUACUGGGGGACAUUUUGUAAUCGUUACUGACCUUCCUCUUGAAAAUCUGUAACUGAUUUAGUUAGGGUUAGGGUUAGUGCCCCUCUGGCUUCCUGCACGUCAAAGUGGUGUGGGGAUUGGAGGCGGAGCUUAGUUCAGGCGGAGCGUUCCUGUUAGCUCCAAUAUCCAUAUCGUACCAGGACUGAAGACAUGCACCACUAAACCACUGUGACCGUCCAUCAUAUGGUGCCUGAUGAAGUUCAUGGUACAUUAUCCAUAUUGUACACAGCACUGCAGAUAGAGUACUGUGUACAGGGACGUCUAGGGGGUUCUGGACGGGACACACAGAACUAGGAAUGAAGCCUUGUUUUUGUUGUGUUGUUAUUUUACUCUGUUUAUUGGGUUUUGG